GGUCCGGUAGCUCAGUUGGUAGAGUAAAUAGAAUUGUGAUAACAUUUCCUCUAUUGCAGAAGGCCAAUUACCACAUACUACCUAUUGUGUCGUCGGUUCGACUCCGACCCGGACCC
rnacentral:tRNA from 1 species